CACCAGGACUUCCCAGGAUUCAAUCGUUCAAACAAAACCCCAAUCUUGAGCCGGGUCUACGUUGGCCUUUGACUGUUUGACCGGAACACAUUUCCCUUGCCCUUUUUUCCUCUUCUUCUUCUCGAUCGGAUGUGCUGCGGGUGUGUGCGAAGGCCCGGACGGCAGUGGGCGAAGAUGAAGAGAAGAUCCAUUCCUUUCCUGACCUUACCACGGCUAAGUGUGGCGUAUGGGGGGGCUUUGAGCGCUUCGGGCUCAAAUGGUUCCCCGGCAUUUUGCUUUGGUUUUGGGGUGCUUAUGCUGCUUAAUCCCUCUUCUUUCCUUCGCUCGAAGUUCUUUCCACCUCGAACAAACCGGCACUCCUGUGGUAAGCUUACGGAUCAUGUUUUUCUUACGGAUUCGGUACCGUUUGGACAGCGGGCAAAGCGGGUCAAGGGCAAAAGGAGCUGGUUUACGGGUGGGGAUGGUUUGUCCCCCACUACGGAAAAGGAUUGUCACUGGGUCAGCCUGGAAUGUGAUACGUCUCCGUGUUCUGGCAAACGAGGGCGAAAGGACAAAAAAUAACCAAGCAUCGUCAAACAGUGGUGCUGUUUGCAUUCAUUCGGAUUGCUUUUUAAAUAAAUGGUUGUUUGGCAGA